UCUUCCAUAUAAUCAUGAUGUCACAUUCCAACACAUUUAUUUUAAUUCAUGGAGAAAAUCCUAAAUAUAAGCAGCCUACCUCUCUGAAUUGAAUGACUAGUAUACAAAGAUACAAGCAACCAUAACUAUGCCUAAGCAAUGGAUUGGAUCAGAGCAAUACUGGUGACAACCAAGAACAACUUAUACGUAUCAUAAUUAACUUCUUAGAUACAUGAAAUAGUCCAAAAGGAAAAUGGACACUAGACAACAGACAGGUUGGUGGCCAGUUUUAGUAAAUCACAACUGGUAGCUGCAGGUCACUUGAUGCACACAUACAAUUAAUACCAGAUGAUUAUGUUAGCAAAUAGCACUACCAAUCAAAACUUCAAACAAUAUUACAAGCAGAUCUCAUAAGAGCACCCAAUCAAAACAAGUAAAAAGUCAAGCUCCAACAGCAAUCGCCAGAGCGACACUAAAGAGUUUUAAACUUCAUCACAUACAUAGCGAGUUCCUUACUGUAACAUACAUAAUUUGCCAAAAAAAAAUAAUUAGGAGGCUUAAUCUCCCGGCAUCCGCGUAGUUGCAUUAUCAUGUCUAAUUAAGCAGCUUUGCGGACACACCCCAGUUUGUUUUACUUUUAAAAGUUUUAACCAUGCUCUUCAUCAUUGUUACUCAUUGAUCUGCAAUAUGCACUUGUUUUCAGUAAUAAAUUAAGUUCACUAAAAAUAGCUUAUGAUAGUACCAUUUAGUGCCAUACACCAUUCUUUCAUUAUGUACUCCUCACUUCCUUGUGUCAGUUUCCAAACAGAAGAGAUAACUAAACAAAAGAAAGUUUACCAUUCAGAUAGUUCAGUAUUCAGAUUCAGGCACAACCUCUUCCAAGAUUCAGUCUAUUCAGAUAGAUUCUACAAUUUUCACUUAAUGAACAUGCAAAUAAGAGUGAUACUUAAUAUCCUCUUUAAACACAAAUUCGGUUUUACUUUCCUGGAAAGGUAUUACCUUUCUUGUUCACUCGAUAUAUAUUUUCUUCUUUGUGCAGAGAAUUCUUUGUGUUUUCAGCAAACAACACAGGAAAUUAGAAAGUAAUUGAUUCCUGCAGAAAUGUUCUACAUCCAAACAAGCAGUCCAUUAGUAACCAAAUCAGUCAACUUUGUAAUAUAUAUAUAUAUAUGCUUCAAUAAUCAUCCUUUACUUGAACUAAAUUUAAUUUAGUUCAAGUAAAGGAUGAUUAUUGAAGCAUAUAUAUAUAUAUAUAACUUGAACUAAAUUUAAUUUAAGCUCCAAAUCAGUCAACCUUUUUUUCCAUUCUUCAUUUUCCUUCGACAAAUUAGGCCCUCUAUCUUAAUCGGGGCUCAAUAAGUAACCAAAUCUCAUAAAAUGAAAUUCCAUAGUCAACAUUAGGACAACUGCAAAAAUACACUUAGAGAACCAAACUCUAUUA
rnacentral:lncRNA from 1 species